AGUUGCAGAAAACGACAACUACGCUUUAGCCGCUUAAUUGGCUAACCAAUGCAAAAAUUGUCUAUGGUUUGAAGCAUUGGCAAAUUACAUAGUCUAGCUUUACUGUGGAGUCUUAACACAGUAAUGCGAAAUCUAAUUUAGACUAGUCUUAAACACCCUGCUCUUCGGGUCAUUGAAGACGAAACAAAAAGAAUGAGCUAAGCAUGUAGAUGUUAGGUUGAAAGACUAACGGACGCGGGUUCAAUUCCCGCCGCCUCCACCA
rnacentral:tmRNA from 1 species